AUGCGCAACGGGAGAUCAACGG
rnacentral:miRNA from 9 species